rnacentral:rRNA from 1 species
CGAAUGCUGACAUAAGUAACGAUAAAGCGGGUGAAAAGCCCGCUCGCCGGAAGACCAAGGGUUCCUGUCCAACGUUAAUCGGGGCAGGGUGAGUCGACCCCUAAGGCGAGGCCGAAAGGCGUAGUCGAUGGGAAACAGGUUAAUAUUCCUGUACUUGGUGUUACUGCGAAGGGGGGACGGAGAAGGCUAUGUUGGCCGGGCGACGGUUGUCCCGGUUUAAGCGUGUAGGCUGGUUUUCCAGGCAAAUCCGGAAAAUCAAGGCUGAGGCGUGAUGACGAGGCACUACGGUGCUGAAGCAACAAAUGCCCUGCUUCCAGGAAAAGCCUCUAAGCAUCAGGUAACAUCAAAUCGUACCCCAAACCGACACAGGUGGUCAGGUAGAGAAUACCAAGGCGCUUGAGAGAACUCGGGUGAAGGAACUAGGCAAAAUGGUGCCGUAACUUCGGGAGAAGGCACGCUGAUAUGUAGGUGAAGUCCCUCGCGGAUGGAGCUGAAAUCAGUCGAAGAUACCAGCUGGCUGCAACUGUUUAUUAAAAACACAGCACUGUGCAAACACGAAAGUGGACGUAUACGGUGUGACGCCUGCCCGGUGCCGGAAGGUUAAUUGAUGGGGUUAGCGCAAGCGAAGCUCUUGAUCGAAGCCCCGGUAAACGGCGGCCGUAACUAUAACGGUCCUAAGGUAGCGAAAUUCCUUGUCGGGUAAGUUCCGACCUGCACGAAUGGCGUAAUGAUGGCCAGGCUGUCUCCACCCGAGACUCAGUGAAAUUGAACUCGCUGUGAAGAUGCAGUGUACCCGCGGCAAGACGGAAAGACCCCGUGAACCUUUACUAUAGCUUGACACUGAACAUUGAGCCUUGAUGUGUAGGAUAGGUGGGAGGCUUUGAAGUGUGGACGCCAGUCUGCAUGGAGCCGACCUUGAAAUACCACCCUUUAAUGUUUGAUGUUCUAACGUGGACCCGUAAUCCGGGUUGCGGACAGUGUCUGGUGGGUAGUUUGACUGGGGCGGUCUCCUCCUAAAGAGUAACGGAGGAGCACGAAGGUUGGCUAAUCCUGGUCGGACAUCAGGAGGUUAGUGCAAUGGCAUAAGCCAGCUUGACUGCGAGCGUGACGGCGCGAGCAGGUGCGAAAGCAGGUCAUAGUGAUCCGGUGGUUCUGAAUGGAAGGGCCAUCGCUCAACGGAUAAAAGGUACUCCGGGGAUAACAGGCUGAUACCGCCCAAGAGUUCAUAUCGACGGCGGUGUUUGGCACCUCGAUGUCGGCUCAUCACAUCCUGGGGCUGAAGUAGGUCCCAAGGGUAUGGCUGUUCGCCAUUUAAAGUGGUACGCGAGCUGGGUUUAGAACGUCGUGAGACAGUUCGGUCCCUAUCUGCCGUGGGCGCUGGAGAACUGAGGGGGGCUGCUCCUAGUACGAGAGGACCGGAGU